rnacentral:rRNA from 1 species
AGAGUUUGAUCAUGGCUCAGGACGAACGCUGGCGGCGUGCUUAACACAUGCAAGUCGAACGGAAAGGCCCUUCGGGGUACUCGAGUGGCGAACGGGUGAGUAACACGUGGGUGAUCUGCCCUGCACUUUGGGAUAAGCCUGGGAAACUGGGUCUAAUACCAAAUAUGACCGCGCACUUCCUGGUGUGUGGUGGAAAGCUUUUGCGGUGUGGGAUGGGCCCGCGGCCUAUCAGCUUGUUGGUGGGGUAAUGGCCUACCAAGGCGACGACGGGUAGCCGGCCUGAGAGGGUGACCGGCCACACUGGGACUGAGAUACGGCCCAGACUCCUACGGGAGGCAGCAGUGGGGAAUAUUGCACAAUGGGCGCAAGCCUGAUGCAGCGACGCCGCGUGAGGGAUGACGGCCUUCGGGUUGUAAACCUCUUUCAAUAGGGACGAAGCGCAAGUGACGGUACCUAUAGAAGAAGGACCGGCCAACUACGUGCCAGCAGCCGCGGUAAUACGUAGGGUCCGAGCGUUGUCCGGAAUUACUGGGCGUAAAGAGCUCGUAGGUGGUUUGUCGCGUUGUUCGUGAAAACUCACAGCUUAACUGUGGGCGUGCGGGCGAUACGGGCAGACUAGAGUACUGCAGGGGAGACUGGAAUUCCUGGUGUAGCGGUGGAAUGCGCAGAUAUCAGGAGGAACACCGGUGGCGAAGGCGGGUCUCUGGGCAGUAACUGACGCUGAGGAGCGAAAGCGUGGGGAGCGAACAGGAUUAGAUACCCCGGUAGUCC